rnacentral:lncRNA from 1 species
GGAGACCUGGACGAGGAGGAGCGGGAGGGAGAAGCGCAGCGGCUGGUCGCCCAGGAACAUGCCCUGCGAGUUCACAAGGUUGUUGUCGUAGCACGCCGCCGCCAGCGGCUUCACCGUCGGCUCCAGCCCACCCGACGACAGGUUCGCCACCGCCGCCAUUGAUGCUUUUGCUGUUAAUUAGAAGGAAUUGGAUGCUAUCUAACUGCUAAUAAGUGAUGGGCACGCUAGGCAGCGCCAUUGAUCCCUCCCUUCUUUCUUGGCGUUCCUCUGUUCGUGGGCAAUGGUGGUGACUCCGCACGGCAUGUGAACCCACAAUUCAGUGUGGCAGGGAGACAGUGAAGGGCAAUGCAGGCAAGGGACAUGAGAGGCUAUUUUUAGUUGUGGAUGAGAGGGAUAAUAGACAGAGGGAGACAUAGCAGCAAUCCAAGUCCAAUAAUAGAGUUUGAAGGCAACCGUGAAUUGGUCUGAAUUUUCUGACACUUGAGGUCUGAACAAAAAGGGAUGACGCACAUUCAUGCUGUGAUGCUGGUUGCUGCUGCUUCAAAGUAAGUAGCUCAUCUUGAUACCCUGAUACCUCGCCUUGCAUCUGCCUAACUGGCGCGUAAUCGCUCCGGCAUCUUGUCCAGGGUCUCGACAGGACCAUUCCCGGCAACAGAAGAAAUGUUUUGUGCAUCUAGUGUCGCCUGCUGAAAAGACCAGGGUUGGAUAGGAAUACAGGCAUGUUCCAUCUUUGUUACAAACGAACAUCCCGUUACUUUUGCCAUCACAAUGAUUUCAGCCUUGUAAGUACAACUCUGUUUCAAAUUUAAAUUUAGAAGGUCGAUCAUGUUCAUAUACGCUGCAUCUCAGGAACAGAUUCAAGUUACAGCCAUUACAAACUGGAAACUGCCAAUCAUGCCUGCACUGGUAACACAUGAUGAUUUCACAACCGAGCUGAAUGAGUUAGAUGCAUUAUGUCAAUCCAAUCCUAAAACAAUUUCUGCCUUGCUGGCCAUUAAGAACUUGCUUGCAGCCAUGCACGACGGAGUUCGCGCGUAUCCACCAUGAAAACGACCUGUCCCGAUUCAUUCAAUCACCAUCAAUCCCUGUCGUCUUCGUCUUCAUCCAG